AUUGAACGCUGGCGGCGUGCUUAACACAUGCAAGUCGAUCGGUAACAGGUGUAGCAAUACAUGCUGACGAGAGGCGGACGGGUGAGGAAUAUUUGGGAAUCUGCCCAUCAGCGGGGGACAACCCGGGGAAACUCGGGCUAAUACCGCAUACGCUCUACGGAGGAAAGCCGGGGACCGCAAGGCCUGGCACUGAUGGAUGAGCCCAAAUCGGAUUAGCUAGUUGGCGGGGUAACGGCCCACCAAGGCGACGAUCCGUAGCUGGUCUGAGAGGACGAUCAGCCACACCGGAACUGAGACACGGUCCGGACUCCUAAGGGAGGCAGCAGUGGGGAAUAUUGGACAAUGGGGGAAACCCUGAUCCAGCGACGCCGCGUGGGUGAAGAAGGCCUGCGGGUUGUAAAGCCCUUUCGGUAGGGAAGAAAUCUCUUGUCUUAACACGUUGGGAGGUUGACUUAACCUACAAAAGAAGCACCGGCUAACUCUGUGCCAGCCGCCGCAGUAACAC
rnacentral:rRNA from 1 species